rnacentral:rRNA from 1 species
AACGAACGCUGGCGGCAGGCUUAACACAUGCAAGUCGAGCGCAUCCUUCGGGGUGAGCGGCGGACGGGUGAGUAACGCGUGGGAACGUGCCCUCUUCUACGGAAUAGCCUCGGGAAACUGAGAGUAAUGCCGUAUACGCCCGCAAGGGGAAAGAUUUAUCGGAGGAGGAUCGGCCCGCGUUGGAUUAGGUAGUUGGUGGGGUAACGGCCUACCAAGCCGACGAUCCAUAGCUGGUUUGAGAGGACGAUCAGCCACACUGGGACUGAGACACGGCCCAGACUCCUACGGGAGGCAGCAGUGGGGAAUCUUGGACAAUGGGGGCAACCCUGAUCCAGCCAUGCCGCGUGAUCGAUGAAGGCCUUAGGGUUGUAAAGAUCUUUCAGCUGGGAAGAUAAUGACGGUACCAGCAGAAGAAGCCCCGGCUAACUCCGUG